GUGAGCGCAGAGAGGGCGGGCGCGGCGGGAGGAGGCGCUGGUCCGACUGGCUCGGGUGCCGACUCAGCUGUGGGCAGGGAGAGGGCCGUGUACCUCCGGCCGUCCCACUGGGGCGCGGAUCGGAGCCGCGGUGCACCGCAUAAGUGGACAGUGUAAGCACGCUGCGGAUCCGUGUUGAACUUGGUCUCCCCUGGAGCGUAAUCUCGAGCUCCCAGUCCAGGCGCGCAUUCAUGAGUGAGGAACCUGAGCCUGUGUUGAGCAUCCCGACCCAGAGAGCAGGGGCUUGUCAGGUACAGGCCAUAAGGAAUUAGGACUUUGAUGCCAGACAGCCCUGGGUGUCCUGCCUGUUUUGUCCAAUUCUUGGCAGUUUGACCUUGAACAAAUAGUUUCAUUAACCUCUUCAGGCGGGGGAUGCCUGAAGCUGCUCGACCCAGACCUGGCAUCUGAACAGGAAGGGUAAGAGGGACCCUAAAAUGGGAAACAUUUGAUCAGAUAGGAGCCAGAGAUGGGCCGAUAAAAGCACUUGGCUGGCCUCAGACAGCUGACCCUCCUCUGGAAUUUUGAAUACCUGAUUCCUUUGGCAUGUCCCUGAGCCAUCUGGGCUUCUGCAGCUGUCGAGGGAGAAACAGUCCUGGCACCCAUCUGGGUCAGGAGAAGGCCCCAGGUGAGCUGGGCUCCCAGAAGGGCUGGGCUGAUGCAUGGCCAUCCAGAGUCAGCAGCUGAGAAAUCUCUAAGUACCAUUGUCCUCCUAUAGGCUCUCCAGUGAGUGAGGGAGAGGAGAGGUACCUUCAGCUCCUCUGGGCUCCCACAGCUUCUUGUGUUGGUUUUAUUCAUUCACUCAUUCAUCAUUUAUUCAUUCAUUUUCUUUUUCCUGCAUUCACUGCAGUGGGACAGGCAUCUUGCUGGGUGAUAGGGACAGAGAAAAGCAUUUGAGGGAGCCAGUCCUCAAGGAACACAGGACAAAAUACCAAUAAGGCCUAAGGAUAGCUGGAAGGGCCCUGUGAUAAGUGCCUUUGAGAAGAGCCUGGAGGGGUGGGUGGAGUGGAGUGCUGUGUGGGUGGCUUCAGGGAAGGCUUUCCAGACUGAAAGCCCAGCAGGAACAAAGGCAGGGAAGCCCUGGACCUUCAAAGGGCUCAUAUCUCCUAGACUGGGAGCUUCUGGAGUGGGGUCAAUGAGUAGCGAGAGGGGCUAGUGACAAAGUCGGGAAGAGCAGCCUCCACAGAGCCCAGGGUGAGGUCCAAGGUCAGGAGAGGGAGAGGAGAGGCCUGAGGGAGAAGAUAGAGGACUGGGCUGUCCUCCUAAAGUAGAUGCUGGGGGCUUAGGAAGAGGACUCACAGGUUGGUAAGCCAGCCAGUGUAGGGAAGGGAGGGCAGACUCAGUCUGGACCAGGGCCACAGUGAUGGAGUCCCCAGCUGGCCUGGUAGGGACAGGCCAGGAUGUCUUAACACAGGUGGACAGAGCACCUCCCUCAGUCCACAAUGAGGCAAGGAAGUCUCCACCCUCUUCUCAGUGUCAGAGAUUCCACUGUUAGUGACCAGCAAGAAACUGUGCAGGGACAUGACCCACCCCUGAGGAGAGCAGCCAGCUCAGCAGUGGGGCAGGAGCAGAGCAGCAGUGUGGGGUGACAGUGAGUGCCUGCAGCAUGAAGGAAGGGCCCACCCUGUCCCCACUGAGGCAUAGUUUCCCCUGAGGGAAGUUUGGUGGUGCGGUUCUCCAGGGGUGGGGGAUUUUACCCAUGAGAAAUCUGAGACUCAGGAGGGUUGUCCCAUCUGGACUGCUGGUGUGAUUUCCAGGCUGCCUCCUGGGGACUGUGGGACACAUAUGUGCCCUUUAGGGCAUCAUCUUUGUCCCCUGCCUCCCACCUGAGAGAGUUCUUAUGGGUCACUCUCUCAGUGACUGCCCUCCAAGCAUUUACUGUCUGCUGGUUGGUCAGACCCCAUGGGGUGACAUAUGCUCACUAGGGACAAGGUAGAGGACCCUUAUUAAAUAGUAUACAUAGAGAAACUGGGUAGGUGAGGGAAGAAUUUAAAUUUGCCCCAUAAAAUAAGCUACCUCUACUCCCUACCCUCAUUUGCACUCCAGACUUCCCUAGAGUCUUCAGGAAGGUCACUGUCCUAUCUGGUAACCUCACAGGCUGGAGGGACUGCUAAGUGCAGUUGUAGGAAGUGACAGUAUAGGAAUACCUUAAAUAAAUAAAUAAAUCCAAAAGAAAGAAUGAAGGAAGAGGGAGACCCUGGGAAAUUCUUCAGCCUCCCCACAUUUUGGCCCGUGAAAGCUAAAGGAAGAACAUUGCGGUUCCCCCAAAAGGUCUGAGCUGCCCUGGCUAGGAAGGCCUCACCAGGCGAGGGCACUGGUGUGUGGUGGAGAGGGCCAGCCUCAAAGGCCCUUCCCCAGGAAUCCAAAAUUAUACCCCUCUGUGACCCCCAGAUCCUCUGAUUUCAGAACUCAAAGCCUGGCUCUCAAGUUCUGUGGUCCUGAGGGUCUAGAGCAAGGUCAGCACUAUAUUUAAAGGUCAGAGAAUUAGUAAUUUAGGAGUCACAGAAUUCACAACGGCUUAGCUUCUUAAACAAAUACGUAUUGUAUUCCAGUAAAGCUUUACUUAUAAAAAAUAGCUGGGUGGGAUGGAUUUGGCCCCUGUUCUAAAGUUUUGGAUUCUAAUUACAUAUUAUAUAUCAUCAUAUAUUAUAUGAUUCUGAUAUAAUAGAAUUACAUAUGAUUAUGCUAUUCAUGGGCCCCGUGCAAUCUUGUUCCUUGCCUUGAGGUUUUGAGUCCAGGGAGAGAUGGCAACAAAAGCCCUGAAUGUGGUUAGGAGAAUCUGUGGGCAUUUGAAGGCUUUGGUCAGGUGGGUGUCAGACCUCCCUGCUGAGCUCUAGCCAUGACCUCCUGGCUGUCCCUCUUGCU